UAUCCAUGAUGUGGGCAAGCAUUUAGAAUUUUCUUAAAUCUUUCCCAGUAUUGGAAGAAGGUUUCUUCCUCUUUCUGUGAAAAAAUCAUUAUCGCCCUUCUAAAGGUA